rnacentral:rRNA from 1 species
AUUGAACGCUGGCGGCAGGCCUAACACAUGCAAGUCGAGCGAGCGGCGGACGGGUGAGUAAUGUCUGGGAAACUGCCCGAUGGAGGGGGAUAACUACUGGAAACGGUGGCUAAUACCGCAUACCAUCAGAUGUGCCCAUAUGGGAUUAGCUAGUAGGUGAGGUAACGGCUCACCUAGGCGACGAUCCCUAGCUGGUCUGAGAGGAUGACCAGCCACACUGGGACUGAGACACGGCCCAGACUCCGACGGGAGGCAGCAGUGGGGAAUAUUGCACAAUGGGCGCAAGCCUGAUGCAGCCAUGCCGCGUGUAUGAAGAAGGCCUUAGGGUUGUAAAGUACUUUCAGUGGGGAGGCGUUACCCGCAGAAGAAGCACCGGCUAACUCCGUGCCAGCAGCCGCGGUAAUUC